GGGCUCACACAAGCGGUGGAGCAUGUUGCUUAAUUCGAAGCAACGCGAAGAACCUUACCUGGGCUUGACAUGCUUGGAUUAACCCCUGGAAACAGGGGCCACACCCGCAAGGGUGGAACAAGCACAAGUGCUGCAUGGCUGUCGUCAGCUCGUGCUGUGAAGUGUCGGGUUAAGUCCCUUAACGAGCGCAACCCUUGUCGCUAGUUGCCAGCGGGUAAUGCCGGGUACUCUAGCGAGACUGCCGGUGUCAAACCGGAGGAAGGUGGGGAUGACGUCAAGUCCUCAUGGCCCAUUUAUGCCCAGGGUUGCAAACGUGCUACAAUGGCGCGCACAAAGCGACGCGAGGCCGCGAGGCGGAGCAAAUCGCAGAAAACGCGCCCCAGUUCGGAUUGCAGGCUGCAACCCGCCUGCAUGAAGCCGGAAUCGCUAGUAAUCGCGCAUCAGCUACGGCGCGGUGAAUACGUUCCUGAGCCUU
rnacentral:rRNA from 1 species